ensembl:lncRNA novel transcript, antisense to NCKAP1L
GCUAAGAAAAAUCUGUAUGUUGAUUAUGGGUGCCAAGUUAAGAAAGUAUUGACUAAGCCUGGGUCUCAAGAAAUAAAAAGCAAACACAUGUACAAAACCCCAAAACAGCUAUCAAAUAGGCUGACAAAAGGAUUUGGGGUUAAAUUAGUCCCUCCCAAUAAAAGGCAGAGUACCCCCAAAUGGUACAGGAGGGAAAACCCACCUAAGUCUGGGCCAAUCAGUUGUCAUGUAACCUAGAAUUGACGGAGACUAACUGACCCUCUGCUCUGGGUUGUGGAGAUAUCAAAGCAGGAGGGGUUAAAGCAAGAGAGAACUUGUAACAAACAAUGUAGUAGAGUAGGUGGGCAGUGAACAUCUCUGAAGGGCACUUCCUCCUUGCCCCAGUAGGAAACGCAGUCAAGCUGGGGGCAAAGGAAGAGACCCAAUGACCCCUCGAAGAGCCCCACAAAGGAAAAGAGGGGCUCCUUUGCUGCUACUCUGCAGUAGGAGCAGGUUGAAUGUUUGCUGAACACAUUUGAAAAAGGAAGAGAGAAGAUAAUGGUCCUAAUGAAUGUGCAGGAGACAAUAGCAGCUCCAG